rnacentral:lncRNA from 1 species
GUGCUUCCAGCAUCUCUGGCACGAGGUUCUGGCACGUCUAGAGAUGGUUCCGGCAUGCCCGGCAGGUGAUUACGGAGUGUCCGACAAGUGGUUCUGGUGCAGCCAGCAGGUGAUUUUGGCUGUCCGGUAGGUGGGUCCUGCGAGUCGAGCAGGUGGUUCCGGCGUGCUUGGCAGGUGGUUCCAGCGUGUCUGGCAGGUGGUUCCAGAAUGUCCAGGACGUGGUUCUGGAAUGCCCGGCAGGUGAUUCCGGACUGUCCUCCAUGUGGUUCUGGCAUAGCUGGCAGGUGAUCUUGGCGUGUCUGGCAGGUGGUUCUGGCGAGUCAAGCAGGUGGUUCCGGCGUACUCAGCAGGUGGUUCAGGCAGGUCCGGCAGGUGGCUGUGGCGAGGCGAGCAGGUGGGUCCAGCGUGCUCAGCAGGUGAAUCCAGCGUGUUCAGCAGGUGGUUCCGGUCAGUCCGGGAUAUGGUUCCGGCGUAUCCGGCACGUGGUCCUGGCACGUCUGAGAGGUGUUUCCGGCAUGCCUGGCAGGUGAUUCCGGAGUGUCCGCCAAGUGGUUCUGGCAUAGCCGGCAGGUGAUUUUGGUGGGUCUGGCAAGUGGUUCUGGCAGGUUGAGCAGUUGGUUCAGGCGUGCUCGGCAAGUGGUUCAGGCGUGUCCGGCAGGUCGUUUCAGUCUGUCCAUUAGGUGGUUCCGGCAUGUCCUGCAUGUGGUUCUGGCACGUCUGAUAUGUGGUUCCAGCAUGCCCGGAAGGUGAUUCAGGAGUGUCAGCCAUGUGGUUCUGGCCUAGCCGGCAGGUGAUUUUGGCAUAUACGGCAGGUGGUUCCGGUGAUUCGAGCAUAUGGUUCCGGCGUGCUCGGCACGUGAUUCAGGCGUGCCCGGCAGGUGGUUCCAAUCACUCUGGGAGGUGGUUCCAGCGUGUCCGGCACGUGUUUCCGGCACGCAUGAGAGGUGGUUCUUUCAUGCCCGACAGGUGAUUCCAGAGAGUCCGGCAAGUGGUUCUGGCGUAGCCGGCUGGUGAUUUUGGCAUGUCCGGCAGGUGGUUCCGGGGAGUCGAGUGGUUGUUCCAGCAUGCUCGGCAAGUGGAUCCAGCGGGUCCAGCAGGUGGUUCUGGUCUGUCCGGAAGGUGGUUCCGGCAUGUUGGACACAUGGUUCUGGCACGUCUGAGAGGUGGUUCCGGCAUGCCCAGCAGGUGAUUCCGGAGUGUCCGAAAAGUGGUUCUGGUGCAGCCGGCAGGUGAUUUUGGCAUGUCCGGUAGGGGGUCCUGCGAGUCGAAUAGGUGGUUCCGGCGUGCUCGGCAGGUGGUUCCGGCGUGUCUGGCAGGUGGUUCUGGCAUAGCCGGCAGGUGAUUUUUGCGUGUCCGGCUGGUGGUUCUGUGGAGUGGAUCAUGUGGUUCCGGCAUGCUCAGCAGGUGCUACCGGCGUCUCCGGUAUGUGGUUCUGGGACAUUUUAGAGGUGGUUCCAUCAUGCCUGGCAGGUGAUUCCGGAGUGUCUGACAAGUGGUCCUGGCGUAGCCUGCUGGUGAUUUUGGGGUGUCCAGCAGGUGGUUCCUGUGAGUCGAGCAGGUGGUUCCUGCGUGCCGGCAGGUGGUUCCAGCAGGUCCGGCAGGUGGUUUCCGUCUGUCUGGGAUUUGGUUUCGACGUCUCAGGCACAUGGUUCCGGCACGUCUGAGAGGUGGUUCCGGCAUGCCCGGCAGGUGAUCGCGGAGAGUCCGACAUGUGGUUCUGGCGUAGCCUGCUGGUGAUUUUGGUGUGUCCGGUAGGUCGUUCUUGCGAGUUGAGCAGGUGGUUCCGGCAUGCUCGGCAGGUGAUUCCGGGGUGUCCGGCAUGUGGUUCUGGUCUUUCCGGGAGGUGGUUCCGGCAUGUGCGGCACGUGGUUCUGGCAUGUCUGAGAGGUGGUUCCGGCAUGCCCGGCAGGUGAUUCCGGAGUGUCCGCCACGUGGUUCUGGCAUAGCCGGCAGGUGAUUUUGUCGUGUCCGGCAGCUGGUUCUGGUGAGUCGAGCAG